rnacentral:rRNA from 1 species
UACGUAGGGGGCAAGCGUUGUCCGGAUUUAUUGGGCGUAAAGAGCGUGUAGGCGGUUAUACAGGUCCGCUGUGAAAACUGGAGGCUUAACCUCCAGACGUCGGUGGAAACCGUAUAACUAGAGUCCGGAAGAGGAGAGUGGAAUUCCGUGGUGUAGCGGUGAAAUGCGCAGAUAUCAGGAAGAACACCCGCUGGCGGAAGGCGGCUCUCUGGGGACGGUACUGACGCUGAGACGCGAAAGCGUGGGGAGCGAACAGG